UGUAGUAAUACAAGGCAGACGGCUCAGUAACGCGUAGUCAACCUACCCUAUGGACGGGGAUAACCUCGGGAAACUGAGAAUAAUACCCGAUAGAACAUUAUGCCUGGAAUGGUUUAUGUUUCAAAUAAUUUAUUGCCGUAGGAUGGGACUGCGGCCUAUCAGUUUGUUGGUGAGGUAAUGGCCCACCAAGACUAUUACAGGUACGGGCUCUGAGAGGAGUAGCCCGGAGAUGGGUACUGAGACACGGACCCAGGCCCUAUGGGGCGCAGCAGGCGAGAAAACUUUGCAAUGUGCGAAAGCACGACAAGGUUAAUCCGAGUGGUUUCUGCUAAAGGAACCUUUUGUCAGUCCUAGAAACACUGAUGAAUAAGGGGUGGGCAAGUUCUGGUGUCAGCCGCCGCGGUAAAACCAGCACCUCAAGUGGUCAGGAUGAUUAUUGGGCCUAAAGCAUCCGUAGCCUGCCUUGUUAGUUUUCGGUUAAAUCCAUACGCUCAACGUAUGGGCUGCCGGGAAUACUGCAAAGCUAGGGAGUGGGAGAGGUAGACGGUACUCGGUAGGAAGGGGUAAAAUCCUUUGAUCUAUUGAUGACCACCUGUGGCGAAGGCGGUCUACCAGAACACGUCCGACGGUGAGGGAUGAAAGCUGGGGGAGCAAACCGGAUUAGAUACCCGGGUAGUCCCAGCUGUAAACUAUGCAAACUCAGUGAUGCAUUGGCUUGAUGCCAAUGCAGUGCUGCAGGGAAGCCGUUAAGUUUGCCGCCUGGGAAGUACGUACGCAAGUAUGAAACUUAAAGGAAUUGGCGGGGGAGCACCACAAGGGGUGAAGCCUGCGGUUCAAUUGGA
rnacentral:rRNA from 1 species